rnacentral:rRNA from 1 species
AUGGCCUCCCUACUUAUGCUUAUUUCUUGGGAACUUUGGAAGGAGAGAAAUGCUAGGAUCUUUCGAAACGUCUCUACGCCUUCGAUGAUAAUCGUGGACAAGAUCCUGGAGGAAGCAAGAUUGUGGGUGUUGGCAGGUGCCAAAGGUCUUGAUGUAAUUUUACCCCGCAGGUAG